ensembl:lncRNA
UUUGUCUUUGUAGGACAGUAGUUCAGGUGGCUGUUUGUGUAGAUGCUGUUUGUCUUUGUAGGACAGUAGUUCAGGUGGCUGUUUGUGUAGAUGCUGUUUGUCUUUGUAGGACAGUAGUUCAGGUGGCUGUUUGUCUUUGUAGGACAGUAGUUCAGGUGACUGUUUGUGUAGAUGCUGUUUGUCUCUGUAGGACAGUAGUUCAGGUGGCUGUUUGUGUAGAUGCUGUUUGUCUUUGUAGGACAGUAGUUCAGGUGGCUGUUUGUCUUUGUAGGACAGUAGUUCAGGUGGCUGUUUGUGUAGAUGCUGUUUGUCUUUGUAGGACAGUAGUUCAGGUGGCUGUUUGUGUAGAUGCUGUUUGUCUUUGUAGGACAGUAGUUCAGGUGGCUGUUUGUGUAGAUGCUGUUUGUCUUUGUAGGACAGUAGUUCAGGUGGCUGUUUGUCUUUGUAGGACAGUAGUUCAG